rnacentral:rRNA from 1 species
CGCUCUUUGAAUAAUAUUUAUAAAGAGUCGAGCCUGCCCAGUGAAUAGUAUUUAACGGCCGCAGUACCCUGACUGUGCAAAGGUAGCAUAAUCAUUUGCCCUAUAAUUGAGGGCUAGUAUGAAUGGUUUGACAAGAGCAAAGCUGUCUCUAUAAAAGUUAAUAGAAUUUGUUGUUUAGGUGCAGAAGCCUAAAUAGAAUUGAAAGACAAGAAGACCCUAUCGAGCUUGAAAUAAAUUAUAUAAAUAAUGUGUUAAAAUCAAAUUUAUAUAUUAAUUUUUGGUUGGGGCGACUAAGGAACAACUAAAGCUUCUUUUGUUUUAUAAUACAUUUAGGUUAUGAUCCAAUAGAUUGAUUAAAAGAAAUAGUUACCGUAGGGAUAACAGCAUAAUCUUUUUUGAGAGUUCUUAUCGAAAAAAAGGUUUGUGACCUCGAUGUUGGACUAGGAUUUCCAGAAAGGUGCAGAAGUCUUCAAUGGUUGGUCUGUUCGACCAUUAAAAUCCU